AGAGUUUGAUCCUGGCUCAGAUUGAACGCUGGCGGCAUGGCUAAAACAUGCAAGUCGAACGAGAACGGAGAGCUUGCUCUCCAAGUAGAGUGGCGAAAGGGCGAGGACAACGUUUCUAACGUACCCCAGAGUCAGGGAUAGCCCAGGGAAACUUGGAUUAAUACCUGAUGACCCCCGCAGAUCGUAUGUUCAGCGGGGCAAAGGCUUGCCACUCUGGGAUCGGGGAACGUCCUAUCAGCUUGUUGGUGAGGUAACGGCUUACCAAGGCUUAGACGGGUAGCGGGUGUGAGAGCAUGACCCGCCGCAUCGGGACUGAGACACUGCCCGGACUCCUACGGGAGGCUGCAGUAACGAAUAUUCCGCAAUGGGCGAAAGCCUGACGGAGCAAUGCCGCGUGCGGGACGAAGCCCUUCGGGGUGUAAACCGCUGUCAGGAGCUACCAAGAUCUGAGGAGCUCCAGAGGAAGGACCGGCUAACUUCGUGCCAGCAGCCGCGGUAAUACGAAGGGUCCAAGCGUUAAUCGGAAUCACUGGGCUUAAAGGGUGCGUAGGCGGAUAUGUAAGUGCUUUGUGAAAUCCCACGGCUCAACCGUGGAACUGCUCGGCAUACUACAUAUCUUGAGGUCGGUAGGGGUUGCCGGAACGCUAGGUGGAGCGGUGAAAUGCGUAGAUAUCUAGCGGAACGCCAAAGGUGAAGACAGGCAACUGGGCCGAUUCUGACGCUGAGGCACGAAAGCGUGGGUAGCAAACGGGAUUAGAUACCCCGGUAGUCCACGCCCUAAACGAUGUGUACUAGAUCGUGAAGACUCUGACGUCGGCACGGUCGAAGCAAAAGCUUUAAGUACACCGCCUGGGGAGUACGGUCGCAAGGCUAAAACUCAAAGGAAUUGACGGGAGCUCACACAAGCGCCGGAGCAUGUGGCUUAAUUCGAUGCAACGCGAAGAACCUUACCAAGGCUUGACAUGGACCGGACCGCUGCAGAGAUGCAGUUUCCCUUCGGGGUCGGUUCACAGGUGGUGCAUGGUUGUCGUCAGCUCGUGUCGUGAGAUGUUGGGUUAAGUCCCGCAACGAGCGCAACCCCUAUCCUAUGUUGCCAGCACGUCAUGGUGGGGACUCAUGGGAGACUGCCGGGGUCAACUCGGAGGAAGGUGGGGACGACGUCAAAUCAUCAUGCCCCUUAUGUCUUGGGCUUCACGCAUGCUACAAUGGCCGGUACAAUGGGUUGCGAUACUGUGAGGUGGAGCUAAUCCCUAAAAGCCGGUCUCAGUUCGGAUCGAAGUCUGCAACUCGACUUCGUGAAGUUGGAGUCGCUAGUAAUCGCAGAUCAGCAACGCUGCGGUGAAUACGUUCCCGGGCCUUGUACACACCGCCCGUCAAGUCACGAAAGUGGGUAACACCCGAAGCCGGUGGCCUAACCCUUGUGGGGGGAGCCGUCGAAGGUGGGACUCGCGAUUGGGACUAAGUCGUAACAAGGUAGCCGUACCGGAAGGUGCGGCUG
rnacentral:rRNA from 1 species